UGGAUGAAGAACGAGCAGUGGAGUUCGACACUAGCAUGUAUCACUUUGGUGAACAUGUACCUCCAGCGAGGGAAAGCAAGAGCUUGAGUGAAGCUCAUAGGAACAACAGUAAACUACAGAAGUGGUGCAAGAAGCAGGAGAAGAAGAAGGGAGGUCGAGUAUCCUCAGAGCGGUGCUGGCCGCCAUAGAGCUGAUGAGGUCGAGUACCCACCUGCUGGAGCUGAUACG